rnacentral:sRNA from 2 species
AUAAGUAAUAAGCUUAAUUUCCGGUUAUGGACCGGAAAGCGGGGGAACCAAGUCUUCCGGGGCGAAUCGUGCCGCUUCAUGCGGCCGUAGGGAACCAUCUAUCCCGAGCCCGUCAGCUAACCUCGUCAGCUUUGGAUGGGUCGAAUA